GCUCUGCUGUCAUCAAUUCUCUCUGCCAGGUUUUCUAAAAUCCCGGUAAUGUCUCUGUUAAAAAAAUGGAAGACACUAUUACAACUCAUCAACUCCUUAGUAAAAUGCUCAAAGGCCUGAAAUGCGUGUCAGAUAAGGCACCCCUUGUCACAGGGGAUCUAUGCGACCACUGCUAAAUUGUCAGAAAAACAUCAUUCUUACCUUUCCUCUGAAGAAGUGGACACAAUGUCCUCUAUUUCAUGUGAGAAAGGUAUACUUUCGCUGUCACUGACAUCACUUUCGAAGAGUGCUGCAUAUUGCCACUCCCUUAAACGGUAAGUUUGAGCCUUAGCACAACAAUUUUUAUCUGACACAAUAUUCGUCUAAUAUCAUCAAGAGCAUUUUAUGGACUGACAAAGCUUACCAAAGUCCACUCCCUGGAUAUUUUUGAUUUUUACCUGUUGUUGUCCAUGAGACUCCUAGAACUUCCCUCAUCCAACUGGGAACCAGAGGCUUGAGGUGCAUCAUCAUUUGACAUCAUCAUAACAGAGCUGGCAGGAAUCAUGGCAAUGAAAGAUGAUGCAACUGAUGGAUCACUGUCGUUUAACAGAAUGACUGCAUCUGGCUGGUCCUCACACGUAUCAAUGGUGACAGUGUCAAUUACAGAACUGAAAGCAACAUCAUUACCAGCCUCCUUAAAUGCAAGGAAAAAAAGAAAAAA